rnacentral:rRNA from 1 species
AUAUCAAUAAGCGGAGGAAAAGAAACUAACAAGGAUUCCCCUAGUAACGGCGAGUGAAGCGGGAAUAGCUCAAAUUUGAAAUCUUACGGGUUUUUCCCGUACGAAUUGUAGUUUAGAGAAACGUCUUCGGAUGAGACAUGAGCAUAAGUCCUUUGGAAGGAGGCAUCAUAGAGGGUGAGAAUCCCGUCUUUGGCUCAUUGUUCUUGUCUAUGUGAUGCGUUUUCCACGAGUCGGUUUGUUUGGGAAUGCAGACCAAAAUGGGUGGUAAAUACCAUCUAAAGCUAAAUACUGGCGAGAGACCGAUAGCGAACAAGUACCGUGAGGGAAAGAUGAAAAGAACUUUGAAAAGAGAGUUAAACAGUACGUGAAAUUGUCAAAAGGGAAACGCUUGAAACCAGUAUUGCCUGCAAGUAAUCAGCCACUCUCUUUUGCGUGGUGCACUUGCUUGCCGGCGGGUCAACAUCAGUUCGAUUUGGGGUAAAAAGCUAGGGGAAGGUAGCCCAGGGCUUGCUCUGGGUGUUAUAGCCUCUGGUCCUGCCUUGGAUCGGACUGAGGUCUGCAGCGUCUUUUUGGAUAUCCGGUCGCCUCCUGAAACCUUUGGGCAGA